rnacentral:lncRNA from 1 species
CAUUUGAGGAAAGUGGUUGCCUUAAAAACAUCAAGUAUGUGUGUGUGUGUGUGUGUGUGUGUGUGUGAUAGUGAGAGAGGGAGAGAUAGAGAGAGAAAGAGAGAAAGUGCAGAUAUUGUUAUAGCAUUAAAUGUGAACACAUUCAUUCAUUCCACAGAUAAAUGAGUCUAUGUUAAUUGGUUUCUUGUGUCUCCUUGAGUUUAUAGACAACACACACACAGACCUCCAUCUCCAGUGCCCAGCUGUGUGUCCAUGAAGAGUGACCGGUCCAUGCCUUUACCUCUUAACUUCAGCAGUGAACCAGUUCCAUCAGGUCUUAAACGACACACACACAGACCUCCAUCUCCAGUGCCCAGCUGUGUGUCCAUGAAGAGUAAUCGGUCCAUGCCUUUACCUCUUAACUUCAGCAGUGAACCAGUUCCAUCAGGUCUUAAGUGAGUAGUUUUUAUAUUCAGACAUUUCAGUGAUGUCACAUGCAAUUAUUGACACAAACACACACACACAACUGUGUGUCCAUGAAGAGUGACCGGUCCAUUCCUGUGAACUAGCUGCUUCCAUUCUAAAGUGAGUAGUUUUUAUUUAAGUUAUUCAGACAUACCAGUGUUGUUACAUGCAACAACACACACACACACGCACACUCACAACCUUUUAUGAAAGCGGAUUGGUA